AUGCAGAUGAAGCUUGAUUCAAGUAUGUCAGUGAAAGUUUCUGACUUAUCUGCCCCCACUUUUUAGGAGUUUUGUUUGCUUGUUUAAAUACAGUAAGCUGCUCUCAAUUAUGAGUACAUCCUUUGUCAUAAACAUACCUCUGACAAAACGGUUGUUUUGACAUCAUCUUCCAGUGGCUAGAAUAACCAGGCCUUAGAGAAAUACAGCACCUCCCCCAGAAGUGCGAUGGCCGCGCUGCUGCUUUCUGAUCCUCCCUCUUAUCUGUGGUUUUCCUUUACAGGACGCAGUUCUUUAUUACGGCCCAAGUCUCUGUGGGUGUCUUCUCCUUCCACAAAGCUGCUCACACUGGAGGAGGCACAGGCGUGGAAAUGAGGCCACAUCAACUUAUGCAUUGUGACAGACAGCAGAGGCAUUCAAGUGGAAGAAGGCUCCGCAGCUUUACAGGGGAAAUUUCACACGGUCAUUGACUUUCCAUCCAAAAGAAAAAGACCACGUAAUAAGCUGAAGAAGUCACCAGUUGGCAGUUGGUGUUCCUGUUUCAGCCUGGGAAAACCAUCCUCUGUGGCCAAAGGCAAACGGCAGCGCAAUCCCAGGGAGCCCCUGCAAUAAGCCUCAGAAUAUUUCUUUCUAACACUCUUAUUAUGGAAGUGAAUCUAACCAGUUUUGAUGCAGAAGGCUCAGGCCCAGUAGUGAUGCACUGUGUGCUUCCUUCACUGGAGAGCUCUUAGGAAACAUGAAUGGCUGCAGUUCGGAUGACCGCUUUCCACAUGGCAGCAGCAAUGGGGAUAAGGAUCUCAUCCACGUUCCUACCCUUAUUUCUCCUGGCUUUGCUGAAGACGCUGAUGUGAGCUCACCAGACACCAGAGUCGCUAGCCUGGAUUUUGAUCCAAUGUCUUUCUAGUGCAGCCCUCCCCAAGGCAGAGGCUGAGGGCCCCGACAGCAGCAUCUCCAUGCAGGAGGAGGUCAGCAUCACUGAGGAGAAGCCGAGCCUCUUGGAGGAGUCUAAUACAAAUGGGACCGUUCCAACACAUGCCACCCUGUGAGUAUGUGAUCUUCUAGGACCCUUCCAACUCAAGCCACCCCAAGGGUUCUAUGAUCUUCAAGGAGCCUUGCAAUACAAACCUUCCAAGGGUUCUGUGGUCUUCACGGUCUUCAUGCAACUUCCUUGCAGUACAAGCUAUCCUAUGGUUCUUCAAUCUUCCACUCUUCCAACUCAGGCCAUCCUAGGGUUCUGUGAUCUUCAAGGACCCUUCCAACUCAAGCUGUCCUAUGGUCUUCAAGGGCCCUUCCAACUCAAGCCAUCCUAUGGUCCUAUGGUCUUCAAGGACCCUUCCAACUCAAGCCAUCCUAUGGUCCUAUGGUCUUCAAGGGCCCUUCCAGCCCAAACCAUCGUGUGGUUCGUUGAUCUUCACGGACCCUUCAUACAGAAGAUAGUCUAUUGUCCCGUGAUCUUCAAGGACCAUUCCAACACAAAACAUCCAGCGGUUCUGUGAUCUUCAAGGCCCCAUCCAACACAAGCCAUUCUAGUGUUCUGUGAUUUUCAAGGACCCUUCCAACACAGGCAUGACUGGUAAGAGGCAGGGCUGCUGCAGUCCCACCCCCACCCGACAUGGGUCUCUGUGGGGACGGGUGUCCCUGGAGCAGCGGGCCCAGGCCCAGGCUGUGCUGCUGCGUUCCUGCUCUGCCACUCUCCUGCUCUCCCGCUGCCUUGCAUGAACCUGGCUGUGCAGCUGCUCCUGAUUGUCCCCUCUGUACGGCGUGUGCCUGUGCUGCUAUGGGGUGGGGACAUAUUUGCCCUGCCCCAUUCUCCACCCUCUUUUUCCCCACAUCUGCCUCACUCUCAUCUGCCUGCAGCCAGCUGCUGGCUUUGUUCCAAGCGCUGCAGUGCUCUAUGACCAAAAAUCACCACCAGGAGCUGUUCUACCGGCUGUGCCUACACCUCGCUAGCAGAUGUCGCUGAGAAACCCCUGCACGUGGUCAGCGAGGAGCUGCUGCCCUUCUGAGCGCCUCACUCAAUAACUCCUCUCUGCUUGGGUGCACAUGCUGGAAGCUAUUACUCAACAAACAGUAAAAAAUAUAUGAAAUAAACGCUAAACAGGGCUUAUUGUCACAAGGCAGCCAGACAAGAUGAGUGAGACAAGGCAUGCUGUAUUUUGAUGCAAAUACAUGAGCCCCAUUUGGUGCCUGGUUCAGCAGUUCAGCUUGCCUUCCUGCGCUUUGCAUGGUUGUAGGGAAAAUGGCAGGCUCUGAUUCAAUGGUGGUGUGGCACGGACACUGUAUUUAUCGCUCUGCAUCCAAACGUGGAAGGGCAGAGGAAGAGCUGGCAACUAUCCCUAGGAUUUUCUUUCUGGAGAUGACCCGUCAUCAGGGCUUCCCUCAGGCUGCUGGGAACAGCGUGUGCAGUGGUAAUGAUCAUGACCUGUGAGGCUCAAGCAGCCUUAAGAGUAGAGGUCUUGCAGAGAUAUCUAGUCAAAUGAGAGGGCAAUCAUCAAACAUAGGAAAUUAAACAAGAGCAACUGCCAGAUUCUGCACCUGGGACAGGGCAGUCCUGGGGUUAUACUGUAAGAAGAGACUUGGCACUCGUGACUGAAGUAAACGAGGCUUUAUGUUGUAUAGAAAUGUAGCUUUCCCUCACUGCAAACGCUCACUGUUAACAGUGAAGAACAGGAUUCAACUGGACAAGUCACAGGAGACAUCAAGAAUGAUGGGAUAAUAUCUGCGCAGAGAAUUACUACCUCUUCUGGGAAGAUGCCACCCAAGAAACACCACCUAGAACUGGAUCAGGAGGGAGAGACGCCAGACACAGGAAAUUAGAUUGGUUAAAAAGGACAAUUAGAGUUGGAACUAUGUAAGGAUGGGGUAAUGGCAACUCAUAAAAGCUCUGGGAUCGCAAGUAACGGGGUUCCUCCUAGGAGACGCUCACCUUGAGCUGUAAAUCACAAGAACUGCAACUACAUGAGGAUGAAAGGCAGUCAGGCUGAUCUACUAAAAGCAGAAGUCAAGAACCAGAGAACGUUGGAGGGGGAAGCAGCGUGAUUCCUUCAGCACAAGGUGGCAGGAGUGCAACUCCUGCAACAGUUUGUGGAGACCCAGGUGGGACCGUAUUGGUGAUGGCCGUCAGACCCUCUUGCCACCAAGCAUCCAGUUGCCAGCAGUGGGUGAGUUCACUGGGACUCUGGGGACGGGAGGUGCUAACUGGCGAGUCUUUAAUUUCCGCUGCUCAAUUCAGGCUUGGAAGCACGCUAAAUAUGGGAAAUAUACUUGGAGUAGGAAAGGGGUGACCUUAGCCAAAGUACAGGAAAACUGAAGGAAAAGAGAUGAAACUGCAGAUCUAUCAACAAAAAUGUAAGCACAUGACACCGGACUUGGCAGGUCUGUGGGAAGGUCAGCUUCCCCGUGUUUGCAUUUCAGCCAUCAUCCUCCAUACCAGAGAGGCUUAAUCUGCUUGGCUUGCUUAAUUGCAGCACAUGUUUCACACGCAUGGAUAACCUGUGCAGUAGCGUCCUUGAUCCAGACCCCAUUUCUAUAUUUCAUCUCUUCCUCAAUGGCCUGAGGUGUCAUGGGUGCACUGAGCUGGAAAGAAUUCCCUCUCGGGGUUGCUGAAGCACUGUAAAGGUUUGCCAAGCAAAGCUGUGGAUGCUCCAUCCCUGGAGGCAUUCAAGGCCAGGCUGGAUGGGGCUCUGGGCAGCUUGACUCAGCGAGUGGCAUCCCUGCCCGUGGCAGUGGGGUUUGGGUUAUGAGUUCUUUACUGUCCCUUCCAACCCAAGCCAUUCUAUGAUUCUAUGACUCUAAGAUGUAAGCACCGGCCCUACGCAGCCCUGGUGCAGCACAUCACAAGAGGAGCAGCCCACGGGGAGCCGCCACCUGGCAUCAUGGGGCCGUGAGGUCACAGUGCCCCAUCCUAUGGCUGUCCUGAGCCGUGAUGUCACAAGGCCUGGCUGUGACACUGUCCUGUGCCACAGGCAUUGCUCUGCUCAACACUCACUGUGGCUGCAGUGGUGGUGGUGGAAGCAUGAUGCGAGUGUGGGGGGCCAUGGCCCCUGCCCGCCUUGUCCUCCUCCUCCUACUGAUGGCCAUGUGUUUCCAGGAGAGCUGUGCUGCUCCGUGGCGAGCACCGGGAGCAGGUGAGUGGGCAGAGAUGGGA